UACGAAGGGGGCGAGCGUUGUUCGGAAUCACUGGGCGUAAAGGGCGCGUAGGCGGCCCUCCUUGUCGCGUGUGAAAGCCCCGGGCUCAACCUGGGAACGGCGCGCGAGACGGGGGGGCUGGAGUGCGGGAUGGGAGAGUGGAAUUCCUGGUGUAGCGGUGGAAUGCGCAGAUAUCAGGAGGAACACCAAUAGCGAAGGCAGCUCGCUGGGACGGUAUUGACGCUAAGGCGCGAAAGCGUGGGGAGCAAACAGG
rnacentral:rRNA from 1 species